UUGCUUGAGCAGCAGUAGACUGAAAUUGAAAUGACACGGAGAUUAGCAUGGCUCCUGUGCAAGGGUGACACACAGAUUCGUGGAGGGUUCUGUUAAAAA
ensembl:snRNA U6 U6 spliceosomal RNA